ACUCACUGUGGUGCAAUGGGUUAGUGCAUCUUGCUGUCAACUAGAAGGUUGGUGGUUCGAGCCCACCCAGGGAUG